rnacentral:rRNA from 1 species
AGCGAACGCUGGCGGCAGGCUUAACACAUGCAAGUCGAGCGGGCACUUCGGUGUCAGCGGCAGACGGGUGAGUAACACGUGGGAACGUACCCUUCGGUUCGGAAUAACGCUGUGAAACUAGCUCUAAUACCGGAUACGCCCUUUUGGGGAAAGGUUUACUGCCGAAGGAUCGGCCCGCGUCUGAUUAGCUAGUUGGUGGGGUAAUGGCCUACCAAGGCGACGAUCAGUAGCUGGUCUGAGAGGAUGAUCAGCCACACUGGAACUGAGACACGGCCCAGACUCCUACGGGAGGCAGCAGUGGGGAAUAUUGGAAAAUGGGCGCAAGCCUGAUACAGCCAUGCCGCGUGAGUGAUGAAGGCCUUAGGGUUGUAAAGCUCUUUUGUCCGGGACGAUAAUGACGGUACCGGAAGAAUAAGCCCCGGCUAACUUCGUG